GAUGAACGCUAGCGAUAGGCUUAACACAUGCAAGUCGAGGGGCAGCGCGGGUAGCAAUACCUGUCGGCGACCGGCGCACGGGUGAGUAACGCGUAUGUAACCUGCCCGCAACAGGGGGAUAACCCGGCGAAAGUCGGACUAAUACCGCAUAAAACAGGGGUCCCGCAUGGGAAUAUUUGUUAAAGAUUUAUCGGUUGCGGAUGGGCAUGCGUACCAUUAGGUGGUUGGUGAGGUAACGGCUCACCAAGCCUUCGAUGGUUAGGGGUUCUGAGAGGAAGGUCCCCCAAACUGGUACUGAGACACGGACCAGACUCCUACGGGAGGCAGCAGUGAGGAAUAUUGGUCAAUGGGCGAGAGCCUGAACCAGCCAAGUCGCGUGAAGGAUGACUGCCCUAUGGGUUGUAAACUUCUUUUACAAGGGAAUAAAAUGAGAUACGUGUAUUUUAUUGCAUGUACCUUGGGAAUAAGCAUCGGCUAACUCCGUG
rnacentral:rRNA from 1 species